AGGACGAACGCUGGCGGCGUGCUUAACACAUGCAAGUCGAGCGGAAAGGCCCUUCGGGGUACUCGAGCGGCGAACGGGUUGAGUAACACGUGAGUAAUCUGCCUUUAGCUCUGGGAUAGCUCCGGGAAACCGGGAUUAAUACCGGAUAUGACCACUUUAGACAUCUGUUGUGGUGGAAAGUUUUUCGGCUAGAGAUGAGCUCGCGGCCUAUCAGCUUGUUGGUGGGGUAACGGCCUACCAAGGCGACGACGGGGUA
rnacentral:rRNA from 1 species